rnacentral:ncRNA from 2 species
GACGAGUGCGUCCCGGCAAGAGGCUGGGCUCGACGGCCGGGUGAUGUGGAGAGGGACGAUCGAGAAGAGGCCCGAGACGGACGGGAGGAGGAAGCCCGGAAAGUGAGGCGGCUAGCUGAGUGCGGAGCGCCAAGUUGUAGGGAAACCGGAGACGGAGACCUCCGCUGAGGGGCAGAACCUGGUCCCCAGCCGGAGGCCCUGAAAGAAGGAGCGUUUCCAAAGCUCCCUGAAACAACAGUAACCUACCCC